rnacentral:rRNA from 1 species
GCAAAGUGCGGCGUCAUAGGCAUGCAGUCGAGCGCUCAUCAGCAAUGGUGGGAGCGGCGAACGGCGUAGUAAUGGAUCGGAACGUACCCUCUGGACGGGGAUAGCUGCGGGAAACUGCAGGUAAUACCCGAUGAACUCUGCGGAGCAAAGGUGAGAUUCCGCCGGAGGAGCGGCUGAUCUGAUAUUAGCUUGCUGGUGGGGUAAUGGCCUACCAGGGCGAUGAUGUCUAGGGGGUGUGAGAGCAUGGCCCCCACGACCGGAACUGAGACACUGUCCGGACACCUACGGGUGGCUGCAGUCGAGAAUCUUCCGCAAUGGACGAAAGUCUGACGGAGCGACGCCGCGUGCGGGAUGAAGGCCCUUGGGUUGUAAACCGCUGUCAGAGGGGAUGAAAUCGUCGGGGGUACUCCUCCGAUGUUGACAGAGCCUCAAAGGAAGCACGGGCUAAGUACGUGCCAGCAGCCGCGGUAACACGUACUGUGCGAACGUUAUUCGGAAUCACUGGGCUUAAAGGGUGCGUAGGCGGCGAUUCAAGUCAGGUGUGAAAGGCUUCGGCUCAACCGGGGCACUGCGCUUGAAACUGGAUUGCUGGAGUAUCUCAGGGGUGUGCGGAACUGCCAGUGGAGCGGUGAAAUGUGUUGAUAUUGGCAGGAACACCGGAGGCGAAGGCGGCACACUGGGGGAUAACUGACGCUGAGGCACGAAAGCCAGGGGAGCGAACGGGAUUAGAUACCCCGGUAGUCCUGGCUGUAAACGAUGAGUACUGAGCGGAAAGAAGUUAGCUUUUUUCUGCUGUAGUGAAAACGUUAAGUACUCCGCCUGGGGAGUAUGGUCGCAUGGCUGAAACUCAAAAGAAUUGACGG